rnacentral:rRNA from 1 species
CUACGUAGCUCAGAGUUUGAUCCUGGCUCAGGACGAACGCUGGCGGCGUGCUUAACACAUGCAAGUCGAACGGAGUUCCUUGGAUAGAGGCUUCGGCCAAUUGAAUUGGAACUUAGUGGCGGACUGGUGAGUAACGCGUGAGGAACCUGCCUUUCAGAGGGGGACAACAGUUGGAAACGACUGCUAAUACCGCAUGACACAUUCGAACGGCAUCGUUUGAAUGUCAAAGAUUUUAUCGCUGAAAGAUGGCCUCGCGUCUGAUUAGCUAGUUGGUGGGGUAACGGCCCACCAAGGCGACGAUCAGUAGCCGGACUGAGAGGUUGACCGGCCACAUUGGGACUGAGAUACGGCCCAG